CCAUCUUAUCUCUAUCUCCCUCGCCAUACUGCAACCUAAACCUAGCUCCCCGUACAUCGCCCGAGCUCCCCUUCCCUGUUCCCCUUCUCAAUCGCGUUGCUUCGCUCACAAGGAGAAGGAUGGUUUUUGUUGAUCUACUCUCCACAGGACGGGGCCGAUCUGGUCCUUCCCAGAUGGUGGCGAGCCGGAGCUGACUCUGCCCGUCCUCAACCUCGUCUACGAAGCUGGUCGCUGCCAGCUCGUCCACCUCGCCGCCCAGCAGCCACCACUGCCGCCACCCUCGAAGACAGAGCAAAGGGUGUGAGUUCACGGAAGGAGGUGACCAACUAGAUUUCUGCAGGAGUACAUGUUCAACUUUGUUAUGUGAUUGGACAUUCUCCAGCACUCCAGAUUCAGCAUUCGGGAUUAAACUUGAUUUUGUCGGUUACAUGGCCUGUUCAGCACGGGCCGAGGUUAGUACAGGUUCAGCAAUUAUCUUUGCACGUUCAGCAAGUACUUUUGUAAGUUCUACUCCACCAGCAGAUAAUUCAACAGGAGCACCUUUGUUGAUCACUUUUGAACAGCGGGAGUAACACACGCGGGUGUGGUAGACUCACCACCACCACUAGCAGCAUAAUCGGGACAAGGGACAGGGAAGAAGCAUCAUCAAAGGUCCAUGUCGGCGUCGCCCAUUAGCAGUACCAGCAUCAUAGGCAGGAGAGGCUGGAGUGGCCAGAAUUGACCGCGGUGCCAGCAGCCGAAGCGAAUGAAGUCGGGGGUGAAUAUGGCGGCCCCGUGCGCGAGAAAGGAUAAUAAAGCAUCAUUGUGUACUUCUGGAACAACUAUCAUGAAAGUAUGGAACUAAUGCUAGCAAAACUACCUUGUGUAGUCACUCGAAGAAAAAGAUGACAUUUACUUUCGAGGCGGACAAGGCGUCGUUGAACGUCACCAUUGCCUUGUUGUUUAUCUUUGUCAUGUUUUCGUCCUUCACACGAAUGUUCUACCUCUUCAUCCAGGCCGGGGUACAAGAACCUGUUGUGCAACUUCGUUAGGAGCAUUUGCUCCAUAUGUGGUAUCUUCUUCAACUUUUCGUCGUUGAUGUUGGCGGUUUUCUUGAGGAUGCAUCAUAGUUGAUUGUCGUAGCA